GGACGGUUCGCUCAGUGGAAGAGCGUUCGGACGGUACCCGAAAGGCGCGGGUUCGAGUCCCGCAUCGUUCA